GAGCUAGUGGAGGCGACCAAGAGCGGCGCCGGGCGCUGGCGAGAUCCGAAGGGCGGAGGCGAGAUCCGCAUCGGGCAGGGGGUGGGGGUGAGAUUCGUAGGAGCGAGGAGGGCUUUGUUGUUUCUUUUUUUUUUUGGGCGGUACGUGUUUUUUCUGUGCUUGAGGACCGCGGGAACCGGGAUUAAAAGGCGCGUGGGGACAAUGAUUUUAAUAUCAUGCUAUCUCGACGCUAUAGCUUCACUAUAGCAAAUUUGGACCACUCCCGUUAAAGCUAUGCACUUUUAGCGCUAAAUAGAAAAUGUCGCUAAUAGCUCGCUAAAACGCUAAAUUGGGCCAGAAAGUAGCGCUAUUUCUCCCGCUAAGCCCCAAAAUUUCUUGAUUUGAAUUUGGAAGUUGCACCUAGUUAUGUAAUAUGCACUUAUGCAAUCCUUUUAUUGCUACAAUCAUCAUGGUUAUUCAAUAAAAGUUUGUGUCAUUCAAUUUCUGGUCAUAUUUUUUAGAUGAUAUGAAUAUAUGAUGCCUAAUUUUCAUGAAAAUUUUCUUAUUUCUGAGAAAAACGCUAAAUGGCUUAGUGCCGCUAUAGCUUCACUAUAGCUUUCUUAGCAGCUGGAAAAUGCCGCUGCUAAGAAGCAUAACCCGCUAUUUAAAACUAUGGUGGGGACAGCGGUGGUAGAUUUGUAAUUUCGGUGAAGUGACGUACCGCGACGGCCAUACUAUCACUAUCAACUCCAAUUUAAUAUAUUGGUAUAGAUUUGUCUAAAAAGACAACUUAUCCUAGUAUAACUCUGUGCAAAUACACAAAGUAGCCACAGAAAAUCUCAGCAUCGCUCAGAAAUUUGAGGGGAAGAGAGAAUACAAAACAGAGCAGCUCAGGGGUGGCGAUGCUUCAGGCAAAACAGAACAAAGAGAGGAACAGAAGCUUGCAUGCAUGCAGGUUGAAGAGGAGUAUCUGCUCCAGAGAUGCUCAGCAUCGUAGGGCUCGCGC
rnacentral:lncRNA from 1 species